rnacentral:rRNA from 1 species
AUUGAACGCUGGCGGCAGGCCUAACACAUGCAAGUCGAACGGUAACAGGAAACAGCUUGCUGUUUCGCUGACGAGUGGCGGACGGGUGAGUAAUGUCUGGGAAACUGCCUGAUGGAGGGGGAUAACUACUGGAAACGGUAGCUAAUACCGCAUAACGUCGCAAGACCAAAGAGGGGGACCUUCGGGCCUCUUGCCAUCGGAUGUGCCCAGAUGGGAUUAGCUAGUAGGUGGGGUAACGGCUCACCUAGGCGACGAUCCCUAGCUGGUCUGAGAGGACGACCAGCCACACUGGAACUGAGACACGGUCCAGACUCCUACGGGAGGCAGCAGUGGGGAAUAUUGCACAAUGGUCGCAAGCCUGAUGCAGCCAUGUCGCGUGUAUGAAGAAGGCCUUCGGGUUGUAAAGUACUUUCAGCGGGGAGGAAGGGAGUAAAGUUAAUACCUGUGCUCAUUGACGUUACCCGCAGAAGAAGCGCCGGCUAACUCCGUGCCAGCAGCCGCUGUAA